UAGGGAAUUUUGGGCAAUGGGCGAAAGCCUGACCCAGCAACGCCGCGUGAGGGAUGAAGUAUUUCGGUAUGUAAACCUCGAAAGAAUGGGAAGAAUAAAUGACGGUACCAUUUAUAAGCUCCGGCUAACUACGUGCCAGCAGCCGCGGUAAUACGUAGGGAGCAAGCGUUGUUCGGAUUUACUGGGCGUAAAGGGCGCGUAGGCGGCGCGGUAAGUCACUUGUGAAAUCUCUGAGCUUAACUCAGAACAGCCAAGUGAUACUGCUGCGCUAGAGUGCGGAAGAGGCAACCGGAAUUCUUGGUGUAGCGGUGAAAUGCGUAGAUAUCAAGAGGAACACCUGAGGCGAAGGCGGGUUGCUGGGCCGACACUGACGCUGAUGCGCGAAAGCCAGGGGAGCAAACG
rnacentral:rRNA from 1 species